rnacentral:misc_RNA from 1 species
AGUCGACAUGAGGUAUGUUUAUGCUGUAUAUUAGAUCAUUAUCCAUACAUUUUAUGUUUAGAAGAAAAACAUAUAAUUUAUUACUUGUUGAUGUGAUUAGUGUAAUGGUCAGUUGCCAUUUGAAGAGGACUUAAUAUUUUAGGUUAAGUAGGACUAAAGCAUAUCACUAUAUCUUUUACCAUGCAUAUACCAUUAAAACUGGAGAUGUGGAUGAUGGUAUAGUGUUAAUUUCUCAAAAAUCAAUAUUUUUUACUAUUGCCAAUCAGAUUUUGAUUGGGCACUGCGCCCCAAUAUUUUAAAAAUUUUUGGGGUUUAUUAAUAAUUUUAUACAAAAAACUCUUAAAGUUUUUAGUGCCCUAUUGAAAGAAUGAUAUCAACAAUGAAACGCAAAUCCUUUUGCCAAAAAGAAAAAAAAUCCAAAACAUCAUUGCCUCUUGGUCUUAUAUUAUCUAUAAAUUCUAUUUUUCGCACUCACCAAUUUCUUUUAUUUGAAAUUUAAAUUACUGGAUAAAAUUAUAAAAUGGAAGUCUAGCACAUUUUUCUCAUAUUCUUUUCAUCAAUUUGAAGUUUUAAUGACUUUCUUCUCAUAAUCUUAUUACUAUUGUUGGAAU